CUGGCGGCGGCGCCAUUUUGAAUUGGCUGAGGGUCGGAGGCGGCGGCUGCCGAGCAGGGUUCCGCGUCCCCCGAGGGAGAAGCCGCGAGGAAGGAGCGGACAUGGCCGCGAAUAGGAACUUGAAGCAAGUGCGGAUCGAAAACAGCUCCCCGGCGGUGCCGCUGGGCAUGGUGGGGGGCGGCGGCGGCGGCAACCUGAAAGGAUUGCGCGGCCUAGAAGCGGAGAGUGAGGCGGCGGCGGCCAUGGCUCUGGCGCCGAGCAAAGAAGGCGGCGGAGAUGAGGAGCGGGAGGUUGGGUUCACCAUUGACAUCAAGAGCUUUCUCAAACCUGGCGAGAAGAGCUACACGCAGCGUUGCCGGCUGUUCGUGGGGAAUCUGCCUACUGAUAUCACCGAGGAGGAUUUCAAGCGCCUUUUCGAGCGCUACGGGGAGCCCAGCGAGGUCUUCAUCAAUCGGGACCGCGGCUUCGGCUUCAUCCGCCUGGAAUCCAGGACCUUGGCUGAAAUAGCAAAGGCAGAACUUGAUGGUACUAUUUUGAAGAGCAGACCGCUUCGAAUUCGAUUUGCUACCCAUGGAGCUGCCUUGACUGUGAAGAAUCUGUCGCCUGUGGUUUCCAAUGAGCUGCUGGAACAAGCAUUCUCGCAGUUCGGGCCGGUGGAAAGAGCGGUUGUUGUAGUCGAUGAUCGCGGCAGAGCUACAGGGAAAGGUUUUGUGGAGUUUGCAGCAAAACCUCCGGCACGGAAAGCUCUAGAGAGGUGCAGUGAUGGGGCAUUCUUGCUUACAACAACUCCUCGACCUGUUGUUGUAGAACCAAUGGAGCAAUUUGAUGAUGAGGAUGGACUCCCUGAGAAGCUAAUGCAAAAAACACAACAGUACCACAAGGAAAGAGAACAGCCUCCACGCUUUGCUCAGCCUGGAACAUUUGAGUUUGAGUAUGCUUCACGGUGGAAGGCUCUUGAUGAGAUGGAAAAGCAGCAGCGGGAACAGGUUGACAGGAACAUUAGAGAAGCCAAAGAGAAACUUGAGGCAGAAAUGGAAGCAGCUAGACAUGAGCAUCAGCUAAUGCUGAUGAGGCAAGAUCUCAUGCGUCGUCAGGAAGAAUUGAGGCGCUUGGAAGAGCUUCGAAACCAAGAACUUCAAAAACGCAAGCAGAUACAGCUGAGACAUGAAGAAGAGCACAGACGUCGGGAAGAGGAGAUGCUUCGCCAGAGGGAACAGGAGGAAUUACGACGACAGCAGGAGGGAGGAUUUAAGCCAAAUUUCAUGGACAAUGUUACUAUUAAAAUCUUAAAAAUGCAGAUGAAGACUGGCUUGUGCAGAAUCCUUCUGGUAUCUUAUGCAGACAAAAGAGAAUCCUAAACUAGGUUUUAGUACAAGGUUUCAAUGGAAGCCGCUGGUGGCUGCCCACCCUCAGAACUGAGGUUGUUACAUUGUGAUGAUGUGCAAAAUGCUGCUCUGCACCUUGGACAAGGACCAUCAGGACAGGCCAGACCUUUGAGACCUGAGGGAAAAGGGCUGUUUGAAAUGACAAAAAAGAACACACACAGCUUGGAGGUGGUGUCCUCCACCAAUACCUCAGCUUGAAAAAGACAUAAGAAUGUGAAUACAUCUGCUUGUGAGCUCCAAGUCCUCUUCCUACAUGAGGAGACAAGUUACAGCUUUUGUGAUGUUACUGUCUUCAGCCUCUGGCACAGAAGGUGAUGCCAGUUCAGCAUUUCAUAGCAGAGCUGAUGUUGGCCUGCUUUGAUGUGUAACUGAGGUACUGAUGCCCUUUUCAUCUAGACUGCACUCCAGGCAGAUUUCCUUUUUAGAAACAAUAGUGUUAAGGGAAAUGGGUGUAACUAAACUAAAAGGAUUAAAGUUUGUAUGUUCUACAAGAACAAUAAGAGUAAAUGAUAUAUUAAAUGACUGCUCCUUGGUUUAACUGAUUGCUGUUGCACUUUAAAAAAGCCUUUUAAAAAGUAAGAAAAUAUUUUUGAGCCCUACAAUAUAUGACAAAAAAUAGGAAAGUGGUAGGGUUUAAAGAAAAAGCAGUAGUGUGGAUUGUGUUUAUAUUGCAGUAGUUUAGAAGAAUAUGAAAGUAUUAAUUACCUAGAGAAAAAUGGUAUGAGGCAGUGACAGCUGAAAAGAACUGGAAGGAAAUGCUAAUCACAGGGGAGAUUACAGCUGCAGUAAGUUGUCUGUGCUGUUGAGUAAGGAGUUAUGCUACAAAUGCCAGCUGUCUUAAUGUAGCUCAAUAAAAAAAAGAAAAAACAUGAAGAAUGAAAAAUUAAUUUUACGUGAUGUGAUUUGAACACUGGCCUGUAACAUACCAUGAGGGUUUUUUUAAAAUUUCUAUAGCUGUUGUAGAACUGUUUCAAAUUAGUAACAGGAUGUUUAUUUUUUUAUUUCCCGAAAUCAGCAAUGCAGUGGACAUGAAUUGAAGAUUUGACUGGAACCUCACAGUUAAAUCCUGCAGUGGGAACUGAAGUAAGCUGAUGCAGUUGUAGAUCUUGGUGGUGAAGAAGCUUUGCAGAGGCUGAUGUGGGUCCCGAGGGACAACUGAAGAUGAAGGUGUCCACCCCCAUGCUGGGCUCCAUUAGAAGAUCAUGGCUGAGCAGGGGCCAGAAGAGCAAUCUCUCAGUUCAGCACUUCUGAGACUGCAGCUGAAACACUGUGCCCAGUUCUGGGCUCUUGAAGACAAGAAGAUGGAAGCCAUUGGGCAGUCAGAAGGCUGUGGAGCACAGGAGCCACAGGGGCAGGCAGCAGGGGUUCUUCCAGCUGGAGAGCAGGAGGUAGGGGUGGUUAAGAGAUCCUGUUAAUCUGGCUGCGUAAGAGAAGCACGUAGAGAAGAUGGAGCCAGGCUCAUGGCAGUGGUGCACAGUAUGGUGGCAGCUUUGUUCCACUGUUUCAGUGCAUGGCAGUGGUGCACCAUGCUACUAAUAAAAGCAGUACAAGGCAGUACCGUGUGGCUGUACUUACCUGGACUCCCUGCACUGUGGAACCAUUGGGGGCUUCCUGGUAAUCCUUUGGUUUCAGGAAGGGUGGAUGCAGAGGACUUGGUCUGGAGGUUCACUUGUGGUUUUAGGGAUCUUAACCAUGCUAUUCACUGAAAGAACUACUUUGAUAUUGACACAGCAGAGCUGACGGAUCUAUAAAGGUGAGGGAACACCCAAAGUUUUAUAUCUCCUGUGCAAGCAUACAGGUCUCAAGCAAUCUUGUAAAGCCUUUUUGAGAAAAACUGUCAGCACAAUCUUUACAGGUGGGAGGGGCUGGGACAGCACCUUCCCCUCUCCCCCACUGGAAGGCUUAUUCAGUGUAGGACAUGCAGCUGCUCUAACAGGGCUUUCUUCCCAAAUUCAUCAAACUGUUCUUGGCUAGGGAAAGUCCAUACAAGUAACAGCUACAGGGUGCAAGACUUCUCAUCAGGAAGUGGGAGUCUGCACUACAGAUUGAGAUGUCACCACAUGGGUAACCCUGUCCCCUCAAGCUCUGGUGGCCCAUGCCCACACAGUUGCAGUGAAUCCAGUUUUGGAACAGGCCCUCAUCUCCCUGGGUGUGUAACAAUGUCUUCAGUUCCCAUUUGCAUGGUUUGGGUUUCUGAGCAGCAGAGCUGUGCCUUCCCUUAAGAGCAAGAGGCACAGCAACAGAGGGAGACAAUGGGAAGGUCUGACCCCUCUACUGUAACUGCAGCAGUGUGACCAGUAACUAACUGAUCAGAGGAGUUCCUUACACUUCAGAUCAUGCAGGAACUAUUACAGACAUUCUGGAAAAAGAUUCAUUUCUAGUUACCAUGCAUGACUGGUUUGCUGUGGAAAAACAGGAGACCUGAAGUCAGAAAGAACCAUCCUCUGUCUGUUCCUUCCUGCUGUCUGCUAUACUUGAGGUAUCUGAGCUUUGAGAAAGCCUUUUAAAGCUUAA